UGGAAUUGAAGAGUCUGACCUACUCACUGCAGCUUCUUUAUACUCUGAAGCAGAUAGCUCUAGGUAAUAACCUUGCUGCUUAACAUCUUUGGGUAUUUCCAGCUGAUGAUCUUCCUUAGGCUGAAGUUUAAGAUCAGACAAAUUCUUUGGAGCAGCUACAGAUUGAUCAGUUGGUGUUGACACUAAACCUAUUCUAUUUCCAGAUGAUGUUUUAUUUUCUAGGUUGAGUGCAUCAGUGCUUCCAUUGUCAUUCUUCACCGGUUUUACAGUAAAAAUGCUAUCAUCAGGCCCAUGCAAAAAUGAGCAUCUGUCACCUUUGUUGCAAGAUCCAUUGAAGAAAAAAUAACAGGGAACCAUUGUCUUGUUUGCAGGUAAUGAAGUUUGCGUAGGUUCAGAUGGCACUGACGCUCCAGUAUGCCCAUCCAAUGGCUGAGAAAGGGAUGAAAAUUAGUUGAAAGUGACAAAAGGUAACAACUGAGCACACGGACAGAUUACUGUUAAACAAGAGAAAAUAAAACAUAAUGGAUAUCAAAUAAAGAGGUAACAACUGGCAGUAUGAAAGAGAUAACAGUAACAACAGAUUUUCACCGUAUAUCAAUAAUGCAGAUAAUUCAAUGUGUCUGUCAUACAUCUGAUAUUUUUAAUCAUCAUAUCUAUCAUAGCAAGUAAAAUCAAAUUUCCUAAGAAAGGAAAUCAUAAAGUUAACUACAAGGUAACAACAGUAGCAAAUAAUUCAGUAAAACCAGAGACAAAUUAUGCAAGACAGUCUUUUAUUCCAUUCUCAGAUGGACAACAGAUAUAAUUCAAGACAUGUAGAAAAUACAACCCAUAAUUCAAAACAUGGAGAUGAUAAUAUGAUCUCAUGCCUUUCAAUUUGAUAUUUAGAAAACACCAUGAAGGUGUGUACAAAUGACCAAAAAUGUUAUAUUGUUCUUCAGACAAUAAUAUACAUAUACAAUGACAUAUAACAAAAUAUGUGAACAAUCUUGCAUCAUCACAUGCUAUUUACAGAGGAAAACAAGAAACCAAUUAAGCUAGACACGGUAUAUCCCACGCACAGGUGAACUAUUUUAAGAAAAAUACAACCCAAACUAUUAAACACAUACAUUCAAUGUGAUAUUUUAAGAAGCAUUACAAAAGGACCUGAACAAUUAAUAUUUUUGUAUCAAAUAAUACCCCACUGCUUUUGAUAGCAUGAGAGCAACCACAAUGUUUGAGCUGGCUGCUGUUACAAGCUAGCUUCCGCCACGUAGCAAUGCUAACGGUAUAACAUGAAAAAAUAUACUUUAUUCAGCAUAUAUUUGACUCUGAGAAAUAGUCAAAUAGAUUUCAGCAACCCUAAUCUUAAAACAAUUUCACUACAGAAACAACCAUCCGACCACACGUGACAAUAGUAUCCAACCACAAAGAGAAUCAGAAUUUCAGGGAGGCAUUCCACUCCACAUAAGCAGGUAUAAAAAAAAAAAUUAAAAAAUGAAGAUCUCACAGGGUGUCUAAAAGCACAGGUUGGAUUAAGGCAUUGGCCAGAUAGCCAGUACCAGCAAUCCCUAGGGUUAAGCCUCGCAAUCUCAUUAUGCCGAUACUCACAUUCAGCCCCCUGAAAAACAAAGCGCGAAAAGCAUCAAAUCUAAAACAUCAGCAAUUGCCAAAAGAAAAGUCAUAUAAUGUAUUAAACUCCAACACAUUAAGUAAGCACUGAAAAAAAAGAAGAAGGAAACGUAAUAUAAUUGGAAAGAAAAACAGAAGCUAGGUUUACGACAAUCGAAGAAUAUAUUGGCAUUACAAAACGAGGAGUGAAUGAAGAGAAUGGAGAGAAGGGGAACCUUCUUGCAAGUGAGGGGAGAGGCUAAGAAAUAAACGCAAUCGGUGUAGCGCUUGAGCGAAUCUUGGUCCAUUUUGAGAGAGAGACUGAAAAGGGAUCAAAAUUCCAUCCACGUUAAUCAGAUGGAUGGCAUUGGCAUUGCAGAAAGAAACAGAACGAUUUCGUUUAUUUCACUGUGUGCGGACAAAGAAAGAAGCGCAAGCAAACCAGCAAGUACUUAGUUGGGCUUCAAAGCCUUGGGCUUGGAUUUGACCCAUCAUCUAAAACAAACACACACAAAAAAUGAAGUUGUUAUUAUUAUAUUGGUAAAAUUGAAUUUUUACUUUUUUAAAUAAUAUUUUCAAAAAAAUAUUAUUGCGUCAUCCGUUUUAAAUAAUAUUUACUUUUUUAAAUAAUAUUUUUAAAUAGUUUUGGUAAAAUUCCUUUUUUUAUUUUCUUGUUAUUUUUUUUAUAAUGCACUCUUUUUUCAUGUUUGUUUUAAUAAUAUUUGAAACUAUUAGCUUUUAAUCUCUAUCAUUUUUUCUCAUAGAAAUUAAUUAAACCAAAUAUUACAGGAACUGAAAUAAAAAAUGAUACAUUAUAAAUACUAAAAUAGAAUAACAAUAACUAAAACAAAAAAAUAUAUUUAUAAAGAUCAUUUUGAAAAACAAAUAUAAUGAUUAAGAGAAUCUAAAAUGCAUGAUUGUUUAAGUGAGUUAUUAAUCUUAAAUUUGUAAGCUCUACAAUGUUCCAAAUUUAAAAAUUUUAAGUAAAAAUUUACUCCAAAAUAUUAAAGUUAUUAAAAUGAGUAUUUAACUUCAGACACAUUAAAUUUAUAAUUAUUUUUUUUUAAUUGGUAAAAAUGAAUUAAGUAAUAAUUUUUUAUAUAAUUAGCUCACUUAAGAAACACACUAUCAAAUCAUUUGUUCCAAUAAUAAAAACUUGUUAAAUAAUAUUAUUUAAUUUUAAGUAACUUAAAACAAAUAGUAGUGUAAUGGUAAUCAAAUGACUAACCUCUGAAUAAGUAAUCCGGGUGUACUUGUUGAAAUAUUAUCGGUUUAGGAAUAUUGCUGCAGUUGCACCUAAUAUUGCUUAAAAAUGCCUGUUAGUAUUCAUGGUUGUAUGAAUUUUUUGUUCUGUUCUUAACCGCUCUCUCUUUGGAUUUAUUUGUCAUACAGUAUCAGAUAAGGCUAGAAGUGAUUUUAUUAUUUUUUAUUUCAAGACAUAACAAUGAAUAUUCAAGUGGGGAAAUAAAAACGAUAUCCUCAUUGAAUUUGUUUCUUUUAGUUCAUUCUAAAAAAGGUUGAUUUUUUAAACGUGCCCAUUUUAGCAUUUUUUUUAUGGUCGUAGUUAAUUUAUUGUUGUGAAUAUUUAAUUAAAUUGUCAGGAAAAUUUUUUUUAGUAGAAAAAUAGUUAAAUUAUUGUGAAGAAAUUUAUAGAAUCGAUGUUGAACUAUCAAUUUUAUUUUUAUUAGAAAAUAUUAUUUUGUUAGUAAUAUAUGAAAAUAUUUUUAGAAGAUGAAAUUAAAGGUAGCUAUAUGAUUUCUACCUGGUAAUAAAAUAUGAUGUAUUAUCAUAUUGCAAAUGAUUUUUUGAAAAGCUAUAUAAUCAUAUAAAUAUAUGGAAGAAUUAACAUGGUGUGAUAUGAUUAAUAUAUAAUAAUGUUUCUUAAAUAUGUUACUAGAUAUCAAUUCUCACAUUCGUUGAACUUUUUAAAUGGAUAUAUAUGUACAUUAACGUGGUGACGAUUGAAGUAGCCACCCCUUGGCAGUGAGAUGGGCAAAAAAGGAAAGAGAAAAGAGAAGGGUGUCGGUGUGCAGCGCCACACUAGAGGG
rnacentral:lncRNA from 1 species